rnacentral:rRNA from 1 species
GCAGCAGCCGCGGGAAUACAGAGGGUGCGAGCGUUAAUCGGAUUUACUGGGCGUAAAGCGUGCGUAGGCGGCUUCUUAAGUCGGAUGUGAAAUCCCUGAGCUUAACUUAGGAAUUGCAUUCGAUACUGGGAAGCUAGAGUAUGGGAGAGGAUGGUAGAAUUCCAGGUGUAGCGGUGAAAUGCGUAGAGAUCUGGAGGAAUACCGAUGGCGAAGGCAGCCAUCUGGCCUAAUACUGACGCUGAGGUACGAAAGCAUGGGGAGCAAACAGGAUUAGAUACCCCUGUAGUCCCUGUCUCUUAUAU